rnacentral:rRNA from 3 species
GGGUUGUGAGGUUAAGCGACUAAGCGUACACGGUGGAUGCCCUGGCAGUCAGAGGCGAUGAAGGGCGUGCUAAUCUGCGAUAAGCGCCGGUAAGGUGAUAUGAACCGUUAUAACCGGCGAUACCCGAAUGGGGAAACCCAGUGUGAUUCGUCACACUAUCAUUAACUGAAUCCAUAGGUUAAUGAGGCGAACCGGGGGAACUGAAACAUCUAAGUACCCCGAGGAAAAGAAAUCAACCGAGAUUCCCCCAGUAGCGGCGAGCGAACGGGGAGGAGCCCAGAGCCUGAAUCAGCAUGUGUGUUAGUGGAAGCGUCUGGAAAGGCGCGCGAUACAGGGUGACAGCCCCGUACACAAAAGCGCAUGUGCUGUGAGCUCGAUGAGUAGGGCGGGACACGUGGUAUCCUGUCUGAAUAUGGGGGGACCAUCCUCCAAGGCUAAAUACUCCUGACUGACCGAUAGUGAACCAGUACCGUGAGGGAAAGGCGAAAAGAACCCCGGCGAGGGGAGUGAAAAAGAACCUGAAACCGUGUACGUACAAGCAGUGGGAGCACCCUUUGGGUGUGACUGCGUACCUUUUGUAUAAUGGGUCAGCGACUUAUAUUCUGUAGCAAGGUUAACCGAAUAGGGGAGCCGGAGGGAAACCGAGUCUUAACCGGGCGUUAAGUUGCAGGGUAUAGACCCGAAACCCGGUGAUCUAGCCAUGGGCAGGUUGAAGGUUGGGUAACACUAACUGGAGGACCGAACCGACUAAUGUUGAAAAAUUAGCGGAUGACCUGUGGCUGGGGGUGAAAGGCCAAUCAAACCGGGAGAUAGCUGGUUCUCCCCGAAAGCUAUUUAGGUAGCGCCUCGUGAAUUCAUCUCCGGGGGUAGAGCACUGUUUCGGCUAGGGGGCCAUCCCGGCUUACCAACCCGAUGCAAACUGCGAAUACCGGAGAAUGUUAUCACGGGAGACACACGGCGGGUGCUAACGUCCGUCGUGAAGAGGGAAACAACCCAGACCGCCAGCUAAGGUCCCAAAGUCAUGGUUAAGUGGGAAACGAUGUGGGAAGGCCCAGACAGCCAGGAUGUUGGCUUAGAAGCAGCCAUCAUUUAAAGAAAGCGUAAUAGCUCACUGGUCGAGUCGGCCUGCGCGGAAGAUGUAACGGGGCUAAACCAUGCACCGAAGCUGCGGCAGCGACACUGUGUGUUGUUGGGUAGGGGAGCGUUCUGUAAGCCUGUGAAGGUGUGUCGUGAGGCAUGCUGGAGGUAUCAGAAGUGCGAAUGCUGACAUAAGUAACGAUAAAGCGGGUGAAAAGCCCGCUCGCCGGAAGACCAAGGGUUCCUGUCCAACGUUAAUCGGGGCAGGGUGAGUCGACCCCUAAGGCGAGGCCGAAAGGCGUAGUCGAUGGGAAACGGGUUAAUAUUCCCGUACUUGGUGUUACUGCGAAGGGGGGACGGAGAAGGCUAUGUUGGCCGGGCGACGGUUGUCCCGGUUUAAGCGUGUAGGUGUGUGUUCCAGGUAAAUCCGGUUCACUUUAACACUGAGGCGUGACGACGAGGCACUACGGUGCUGAAGCAACAAAUGCCCUGCUUCCAGGAAAAGCCUCUAAGCAUCAGGUAACAUCAAAUCGUACCCCAAACCGACACAGGUGGUCAGGUAGAGAAUACCAAGGCGCUUGAGAGAACUCGGGUGAAGGAACUAGGCAAAAUGGUGCCGUAACUUCGGGAGAAGGCACGCUGACACGUAGGUGAAGUGAUUUACUCAUGGAGCUGAAGUCAGUCGAAGAUACCAGCUGGCUGCAACUGUUUAUUAAAAACACAGCACUGUGCAAACACGAAAGUGGACGUAUACGGUGUGACGCCUGCCCGGUGCCGGAAGGUUAAUUGAUGGGGUCAGCGCAAGCGAAGCUCCUGAUCGAAGCCCCGGUAAACGGCGGCCGUAACUAUAACGGUCCUAAGGUAGCGAAAUUCCUUGUCGGGUAAGUUCCGACCUGCACGAAUGGCGUAAUGAUGGCCAGGCUGUCUCCACCCGAGACUCAGUGAAAUUGAACUCGCUGUGAAGAUGCAGUGUACCCGCGGCAAGACGGAAAGACCCCGUGAACCUUUACUAUAGCUUGACACUGAACAUUGAGCCUUGAUGUGUAGGAUAGGUGGGAGGCUUUGAAGUGUGGACGCCAGUCUGCAUGGAGCCGACCUUGAAAUACCACCCUUUAAUGUUUGAUGUUCUAACGUGGACCCGUUACCCGGGUUGCGGACAGUGUCUGGUGGGUAGUUUGACUGGGGCGGUCUCCUCCUAAAGAGUAACGGAGGAGCACGAAGGUUGGCUAAUCCUGGUCGGACAUCAGGAGGUUAGUGCAAUGGCAUAAGCCAGCUUGACUGCGAGCGUGACGGCGCGAGCAGGUGCGAAAGCAGGUCAUAGUGAUCCGGUGGUUCUGAAUGGAAGGGCCAUCGCUCAACGGAUAAAAGGUACUCCGGGGAUAACAGGCUGAUACCGCCCAAGAGUUCAUAUCGACGGCGGUGUUUGGCACCUCGAUGUCGGCUCAUCACAUCCUGGGGCUGAAGUAGGUCCCAAGGGUAUGGCUGUUCGCCAUUUAAAGUGGUACGCGAGCUGGGUUUAGAACGUCGUGAGACAGUUCGGUCCCUAUCUGCCGUGGGCGCUGGAGAACUGAGGGGGGCUGCUCCUAGUACGAGAGGACCGGAGUGGACGCAUCACUGGUGUUCGGGUUGUCAUGCCAAUGGCACUGCCCGGUAGCUAAAUGCGGAAGAGAUAAGUGCUGAAAGCAUCUAAGCACGAAACUUGCCCCGAG